GAUUGUAGGAUCGUUAUUGUAACUCUUACAAUGUUAAUGAUAAUAGUAAUCAUUAGUAUGAUAAUGCUGUUGUAGUAAUCUUCAUUCAUUUCAGGCACAGAAGCUUUCAUUGCUCCAGAUUUAACAAUGAAGUGUGUCAGUGUACAAAAACAGGGAUUUUUAAGCUUAAAUGGUUGAACCAAAGUUUUUGAUCCUUGUUGCUGAUGACCCCUUCCCCUUUGCCUUUCCAUCUCUACUUCAGAAAAGGCCUGAGGAGCUCUGGAGGCUGUGCUGCAGCUUGUAGGAAUUUACAACAUGCACGUGUGCGCCAGGCUGUAUUGAUUUGUUUGUUGCUGCCAUGCUGAAUGGUCAGGAGACAAAGAAAUGAAACGGUAUGGCCACUCAUACUGUACAGCCUGGCUGCAGGGCACAUUUCACGCCUCCGUCACCGUGGAAACCCGGCAUCGGCUGAGCCUGGAGGGUGACAACAAAACCCCACAUUGGAGGAGAGAGUUCGUUUGCGCCCUGGCAGCAGGGUAGGUAGACAAAAAGAGACCUUUUCCUUUCUGAAACGACAAAAAAACUCCCACUGCAGUAAUUCUGCAGCUGACAGCUCUCUCACACAUGGAAGCAGUGUGAACGUCCAACUAAAACAAGCAUGAAUAGUCUGGAUCAGAAGAUUAUUUGCCUCUCUGCGUGUUUGCUUUUAAUGAGAGAUGCCAUUCACACCUUUCAAUUGCUAUUCAUUUCUGCUAUCGCUCACAUCUCCUCUACACAAUGUGCUGCCUUUGUGUGCUGAAUUAGACCUAUUGUGUGUGCAAACCUUCAGCUGCCUGUAUCGUGAUCUCUCAUCGCUUUGCCUUCAUGCACACAGAGAAAUUCAUUUCAGCUCUUUUAUUACAGCACAAGCACACAUUGCCAUUACCUGCCCUUUUUUAUACAGCCAAAUGGAAUAAAUGAGCAUUUAGUAGCACCAUAAAUAUGUUAACGCAAUGCUGACACAUGGACAAAUGUGAGCUCUUGAUUAAAAACACUCCUGUUUUGCAGCUAACAAACAACACUGAUGUUUCAGCUUCCAGACAAAUGAAUUGACAGUAAUUCUUACAUUAUGACAAUACUGAAUGCAUCUCUUUUAGCCUGCACUUGGUGCCAACAUCUGAAGCUGAACCCUCACUGCAAUUGUGAAUUUGAUCUUGAUGGUGAAGCCACUUGGGAACUUGUUUCUGUGAGUUGCCUGUGCAGGGCAGACGCCCAGGUCUGCUGUAGCGCCAGAUGGUGGUUCAUUAGAUCCUAUGUGUUGUGUGCUUGGUGUGAAGCGUAGGAGGAGCAGGGCGGAUGUUUGUUCCCAUCAACAGCCAGACUUUAAGUCUGGCUGGCUUCAUCCCUAUAUAAUGCUUCCAUUCCUCAGAGUGCCAGAGUGCCUGGCAUGCAAAGUGAUACUAGUGUGAAGUGUGAUGGGAGGAGACGUCGCCUUUUGUUUUGUUCUUGCUUUGAGUCAUGCUUCUGCUCACUUAAAGAGGAGUAACUUUUAUUGUAGUACUCUGUGUUUAAAUCCUGGCAUACAAAGGGCUUAGGGAAAAGCUGUUAAACAUGUACUGCACUGGAUUGUGUUUGUCAUUGUUCUGGGGUGUAUGUUAUUGACUUGAACUUGAACUUAACGCCUUUUGAAUAAUGUUAUCUUCCACUGUUGUAUACUGUAUCAACAAUCUGUCACGAUCAUGUUCUGUUCUGUUGAUGAACCCACUUGACCUCAGUAAAUUCCUAAAUUUCCCAGAGUGCCUCUCAACACCUGACUGUUUGUUCAUUCAUCACAGGAUUACUCCACAUGUGCAGGUAAACAGAACAAUAACAAUAGACAGUGUUAUCAUUAACAACAGAGGAGUCGUUUGAUGGACAGUGGAGAACAACUGAAGCUUUCAAAUCAAGACACAGUGAGUCGUGGUUUUAACCAUAAACACAUGAGUAUUUUUGUUGCCUUGAAUCUAUUGAGGCUGCACUUUCUAUCAAAGUAAUGACCAUCAUUGACUGCAUGACCUCAAAGAGGAAGAGAAAUAACAUAGUCCUCUUAUUUCAAUAAGGGAUGAUAGGUUUUACAAAAAGAUACAUUAUUUCACAGCAUUUUAUUUAAUCCAUUUUAGGAAAAAACAGGUUUUAAUAAACGAUAUUCAAGCCAUACUGUGGCUAAAAACAGCAAUUCAAAAGACGCAUUUCAAAUUGCAGAAGUGGUGGGACAACACUUCUCGUGUGUGAUUGGACAGAUCCCGGGUAAAUCGUUCGCUUGCGUAUGACGUCAGAGGAACGCGACUGAAGCCCGGAAGUGGAAAUGCAAUCAACGACUCCCAAAUUGUUCACAGGUGUGCAUAGUAUCUGGUUGCUCGGAUCGAUCGAAGACUGUUUUCCCACUCCAAAAUGAUAAUCAAUUGGCCGUUAUGUACACGGACCUUUGGACCGCCGCCUCCGUUUAUUAGUACUGUGAGAAAAUAUCCUUACCGAAGAAGCCUGGAUACUUGUCGAACACGAGUGAGACUAGACGCUGCGGCGCGAAGGUUUACUGGUUCAGCUGCUGCAGCCUGGACAGAAACACCAGGUCUCACCUGACAAACUAAACAGGUGUCACCACUUCGUCCACGAUCAGUCUUCAUACAAUGAAGAAGUUCUUUGAGACCAGGACUGAGGCCUCCAGGAUUCAAGCUUCAACCAUUAUAUCACAGAAAGAAGAGACAGAUGUGAAGACAUUUCCAGAAGGUCCUCAGCUGCUGUCGUCUUCUCCUCCUGCAAAGACAAGAACAUGUGUUAGUCACAGACACUGAUCAAAUAAUGUAUUUUUUCUUUCCUGAAAUGUCCUAACUGUGCUAACCUUACUAUGAAAUGUGGCUUAAGACAAAGAAACUAUCUUAACGCAGCCAUCUUACCUUUUUUUUCCCCCCACAGAAACACUCACACCUCUACACAGUAUAAUAUCAGUAUUCAAAUCCAAUCUAUUACUGUGUAUAUUGUCUUGUUUAUAAUUUUUACAUGUUGUUAUAUUACUCUUACCUCAAAGUAAAUGCUUCUGAACAAUUAACAUUUUGCUGGUCUGUUUAAUAUUGUAUGAAAGUGAAUAUUUGUAGCCUAGGGUUAGGGUUAGCCUUUUUCAUUUUUUAUGCUUUACUGUGUCGUGUGACAUUUUUACUUCUGCAUUGCUUUAGUGUUACAGAUUACUUUAACCGAUUACAUCUUACUUGUAAAUUAACAGAUAACAUUUACUGUUGCAAACUACAUCAAGUAACAGGUUAGUUUGACUAUUACAUCUAACUUCUGAUAUUGCUAAUUACUUUUACAUUACUUCUAUUAAUACAGAUUACUACUAUUAUUACACUUUUCUGAUAUACUGAACAUAAACAAUUUAAUGUCAGUGCUCUGUGUUGGACAGUUGAUGUAAAGCUGUUUGUGAAUUACCUGGAG